UCGAACGAACUCUGGUAUUGAUUGGUGCUUGCAUCAUGAUUUACAUUUGAGUGAGUGGCGAACUGGUGAGUAACACGUGGGAAACCUGCCCAGAAGCGGGGGAUAACACCUGGAAACAGAUGCUAAUACCGCAUAACAACUUGGACCGCAUGGUCCGAGUUUGAAAGAUGGCUUCGGCUAUCACUUCUGGAUGGUCCCGCGGCGUAUUAGCUAGAUGGUGAGGUAACGGCUCACCAUGGCAAUGAUACGUAGCCGACCUGAGAGGGUAAUCGGCCACAUUGGGACUGAGACACGGCCCAAACUCCUACGGGAGGCAGCAGUAGGGAAUCUUCCACAAUGGACGAAAGUCUGAUGGAGCAACGCCGCGUGAGUGAAGAAGGGUUUCGGCUCGUAAAACUCUGUUGUUAAAGAAGAACAUAUCUGAGAGUAACUGUUCAGGUAUUGACGGUAUUUAACCAGAAAGCCACGGCUAACUACGUGCCAGCAGCCGCGGUAAUACGUAGGUGGCAAGCGUUGUCCGGAUUUAUUGGGCGUAAAGCGAGCGCAGGCGGUUUUUUAAGUCUGAUGUGAAAGCCUUCGGCUCAACCGAAGAAGUGCAUCGGAAACUGGGAAACUUGAGUGCAGAAGAGGACAGUGGAACUCCAUGUGUAGCGGUGAAAUGCGUAGAUAUAUGGAAGAACACCAGUGGCGAAGGCGGCUGUCUGGUCUGUAACUGACGCUGAGGCUCGAAAGUAUGGGUAGCAAACAGGAUUAGAUACCCUGGUAGUCCAUACCGUAAACGAUGAAUGCUAAGUGUUGGAGGGUUUCCGCCCUUCAGUGCUGCAGCUAACGCAUUAAGCAUUCCGCCUGGGGAGUACGGCCGCAAGGCUGAAACUCAAAGGAAUUGACGGGGGCCCGCACAAGCGGUGGAGCAUGUGGUUUAAUUCGAAGCUACGCGAAGAACCUUACCAGGUCUUGACAUACUAUGCAAAUCUAAGAGAUUAGACGUUCCCUUUGGGGACAUGGAUACAGGUGGUGCAUGGUUGUCGUCAGCUCGUGUCGUGAGAUGUUGGGUUAAGUCCCGCAACGAGCGCAACCCUUAUUAUCAGUUGCCAGCAUUAAGUUGGGCACUCUGGUGAGACUGCCGGUGACAAACCGGAGGAAGGUGGGGAUGACGUCAAAUCAUCAUGCCCCUUAUGACCUGGGCUACACACGUGCUACAAUGGAUGGUACAACGAGUUGCGAACUCGCGAGAGUAAGCUAAUCUCUUAAAGCCAUUCUCAGUUCGGAUUGUAGGCUGCAACUCGCCUACAUGAAGUCGGAAUCGCUAGUAAUCGC
rnacentral:rRNA from 1 species